rnacentral:rRNA from 1 species
GUGGGGAAUAUUGGACAAUGGGCGAAAGCCUGAUCCAGCCAUGCCGCGUGUGUGAAGAAGGUCUUCGGAUUGUAAAGCACUUUAAGUUGGGAGGAAGGGCAGUAAGUUAAUACCUUGCUGUUUUGACGUUACCAACAGAAUAAGCACCGGCUAACUUCGUGCCAGCAGCCGUGGUAAUACGAAGGGUGCAAGCGUUAAUCGGAAUUACUGGGCGUAAAGCGCGCGUAGGUGGUUUUGUAAGUUGGAGGUGAAAUCCCCGGGCUCAACCUGGGAACUGCCUCCAAAAGUGCAUGACUAGAGGACGGUAGAGGGUAGUGGAAUUUCCUGUGUAGCGGUGAAAUGCGUAGAUAUAGGAAGGAACACCAGUGGCGAAGGCGACUACCUGGACUGAUACUGACACUGAGGUGCGAAAGCGUGGGGAGCAAACAGGAUUAGAUACCCGGGUAGUCC